rnacentral:rRNA from 1 species
AGAGUUGAUCUGGCUCAGGACGAACGCUGGCGGCGUGCUAAUACAUGCAAGUAGAACGCUGAAAUAAGAGCUUGCUCUUAUGGAUGAGUUGCGAACGGGUGAGUAACACGUGGGGAACCUACCUUCUAGCGGGGGAUAACACAUAGAAAUGUGUGCUAAUACCGCAUAAUAGUAUUUGAUGCAUAUCAGAUACUUGAAAGGCGCAAUUGCGUCACUAGAAGAUGGCCCCGCGGUGCAUUAGCUAGUUGGUGAGGUAACGGCUCACCAAGGCAAUGAUGCAUAGCCGACCUGAGAGGGUGAUCGGCCACACUGGGACUGAGACACGGCCCAGACUCCUACGGGAGGCAGCAGUAGGGAAUCUUCGGCAAUGGACGCAAGUCUGACCGAGCAACGCCGCGUGAGUGAAGAAGGUUUUCGGAUCGUAAAACUCUGUUGUAAGAGAAGAACGUUGAUGAGAGUGGAAAGUUCAUCAAGUGACGGUAUCUUACCAGAAAGCCACGGCUAACUACGUGCCAGCAGCCGCGGUAAUACGUAGGUGGCAAGCGUUGUCCGGAUUUAUUGGGCGUAAAGCGAGCGCAGGCGGUUGAUUAAGUCUGAUGUGAAAGCCCCCGGCUCAACCGGGGAGGGUCAUUGGAAACUGGUCAACUUGAGUGCAGAAGAGGAGAGUGGAAUUCCAUGUGUAGCGGUGAAAUGCGUAGAUAUAUGGAGGAACACCAGUGGCGAAGGCGGCUCUCUGGUCUGUAACUGACGCUGAGGCUCGAAAGCGUGGGGAGCGAACAGGAUUAGAUACCCUGGUAGUCCACGCCGUAAACGAUGAGUGCUAAGUGUUGGAGGGUUUCCGCCCUUCAGUGCUGCAGCUAACGCAUUAAGCACUCCGCCUGGGGAGUACGACCGCAAGGUUGAAACUCAAAGGAAUUGACGG